rnacentral:rRNA from 1 species
AGAGUUUGAUCCUGGCUCAGGACGAACGCUGGCGGCGCGCCUAACACAUGCAAGUCGAACGAGCGAGAGAGAGCUUGCUUUCUCAAGCGAGUGGCGAACGGGUGAGUAACGCGUGAGGAACCUGCCUCAAAGAGGGGGACAACAGUUGGAAACGACUGCUAAUACCGCAUAAGCCCACGACCCGGCAUCGGGUAGAGGGAAAAGGAGCAAUCCGCUUUGAGAUGGCCUCGCGUCCGAUUAGCUAGUUGGUGAGGUAAUGGCCACCGAAGGCGACGAUCGGUAGCCGGACUGAGGAGGUUGAACGGCCACAUUGGACUGAGACACGGCCCAGACUCCUACGGGAGGCA